rnacentral:misc_RNA from 1 species
UACUUUGGUGAUCAGCAAGUGAAUAGCAGGUAUGUGAGUGAGAUUUGGAAGCUGGGAUUGGACAUGAAGGAUGUAUGUGAUAGAAGGGUUGUGGAGAAGAUGGUGAAUGAUCUGAUGGUGGAUAGGAGGGAGGAGUAUGUAAAGUCAACGGCUAGGAUGCAAGAGUUAGCAAGUAAGAGCGUAUCAGAAGAUGGAUCUUCUUCUUGUUGUCUGAACCGUCUGAUCGAGGACAUAAGGUUGAUGAACAAGAAGGCAUAUGCCAGCGACAAAUGACAAGGAUAACUUGUCACAAUAAAGAAUAUUUUUUUUUUUAUUUUUCUUUUCAUCU